rnacentral:rRNA from 1 species
UCCCUUAGAUGUUCUGGGCCGCACGCGCGCUACACUGAUGCAUUCAACGAGCCUAUCCUUGACCGACAGGUCCGGGUAAUCUUUGAAUCUGCAUCGUGACGGGGAUAGAUUAUUGCAAUUAUUAAUCUUCAACGAGGAAUGCCUAGUAGGCGCAAGUCAUCAGCUUGCGUCGAUUACGUCCCUGCCCUUUGUACACACCGCCCGUCGCUCCUACCGAUUGGGUGUGCUGGUGAAAUGUUCGGAUCGGCCGUUUGUCGCGGUUUCCGCGUCAUGUGGCUGAGAAGUUCAUUAACCCCUCCCACCUAGAGGAAGGAGAAGUCGUAACA